rnacentral:rRNA from 1 species
CUCGUAGGCGGUUUGUCGCGUCUGCUGUGAAAUCCGGAGGCUCAACCUCCGGCCUGCAGUGGGUACGGGCAGACUAGAGUGCGGUAGGGGAGAUUGGAAUUCCUGGUGUAGCGGUGGAAUGCGCAGAUAUCAGGAGGAACACCAAUGGCGAAGGCAGAUCUCUGGGCCGUAAUUGACGCUGAGGAGCGAAAGCAUGGGGAGCGAACA